ensembl:snRNA U6 U6 spliceosomal RNA
AUGCUCAUUUUGGCAGCACAUAUACUAAAAUUGGAACGAUAUAGAGAUUAGUAUGGCCCCUGAGCAAGGAUGACACGCAAAUUUGUGAAGCAUUCCUUUUUUUU